CAGCAUAGAAGGACAGAUCCAAUUCCUACACCAAUAGAACAACCCGAAACACCAAUUCUUAUGGGAAAUGAAUCUCCUCCUCCUAGUCCCUUUGGAGCAGCACCUUCAGCUCCUGUUUCCUCCUCUGAAGAUAUCAUUAUGGCGGAGCUAUCUCAGAUCAAAUCACAGCAAGAACAAAUUCAGAAUCAACAAGUUGAAAUUUUCAAGACACUACGACAGAUGAAUGAAAAAAUAGAUAUCAUGUAUCAGCACUGUGGAUUACCUCCUAAGGAUUAAACUGAUGUAUCUUUUUAUUCUGUUCUGUUUGCUUUUAAAAACAAGUUCAAGUUUGUCAUCGAUUAAACGAUAACUGAUCUUUCCUUUUAGAUAACUACUGUCUUAAUCUGCAUAGAUGAUGAUGUCUUUUGGAUAAACUAUUUCUGGCAAAUUUGAAUGAUGAACUUUGAUAAAUGCUAAACCUUUUUCUAUGAUCAUCAAUUAGCUGGCUUGUCUCUUUUUGUUGAUGACAAAGGGGGAGAAGUGAUGACUUACACCAGAACGAUAGCAUGACUAAUUUGAAUUACAAAAACUUGUGUGAUAUGAAUGUCUUACAUGACUUGCAAAUCCUUGAAAAUAUCACAAGAUUGAUAUCAUGAAAUUUAUAUUGAAAAUC
rnacentral:lncRNA from 1 species